GGGCGGUUAGCUCAGCGGUAGAGCAUUGCCUUCACACGGCAAGGGUCGCAGGUUCGAUCCCUGCAUCGCCCACCA
rnacentral:tRNA from 1 species